rnacentral:rRNA from 1 species
CAAUAGCGUAUAUUUAAGUUGUUGCAGUUAAAAAGCUCGUAGUUGGAUUUCGGGUGGGACGCAGCGGUCUCGCAUUGCGUUUGUACUGCUGCAGCCCUCCUUCUUGCCGGGGGAGGCCUCUCGGACUUCACUGUCUGGGGGUCAGAAUCGGCGAUGUUACUUUGAGUAAAUUAGAGUGUUCAAAGCAAGCUUACGCUCUGAAUAUAAUAGCAUGGGAUAACACGACAGGACUCUGGCCUAUCGUGUUGGUCUAUAGGACCAGAGUAAUGAUUAAGAGGGACAGUCGGGGGCAUUCGUAUUCCGUUGUCAGAGGUGAAAUUCUUGGAUUUACGGAAGACGAACAUCUGCGAAAGCAUUUGCCAAGGAUGUUUUCAUUGA